GACGAACGCUGGCGGCGUGCUUAACACAUGCAAGUCGAACGGAAAGGCCCAGCUUGCUGGGUGCUCGAGUGGCGAACGGGUGAGUAACACGUGGGUGAUCUGCCCCUAACUUCGGGAUAAGCUUGGGAAACUGGGUCGAAUACCGGAUAGGACAAUCGUUUAGUGUCGGUUGUGGAAAGUUUUUUCGGUUAGGGAUGAGCCCGCUGCCUAUCAGCUUGUUGGUGGGGUAAUGGCCUACCAAGGCGUCGACGGGUAGCCGGCCUGAGAGGGUGGACGGCCACAUUGGGACUGAGAUACGGCCCAGACUCCUACGGGAGGCAGCAGUGGGGAAUAUUGCACAAUGGGCGCAAGCCUGAUGCAGCGACGCCGCGUGGGGGAUGACGGCCUUCGGGUUGUAAACCUCUUUCGACAGGGACGAAGCUUUGGUGACGGUACCUGUAUAAGAAGCACCGGCUAACUACGUG
rnacentral:rRNA from 1 species